CACCAGCAGCUCAAGUGGUGAUCACGUUUAUUGGGUUUAAAGGGUACGUAGUCGGUUCGGCAAGUUUUCUGUGAAAUCCUACAGCUCAACUGUGGGGAUGGCAGAAAAUACUACCGGGCUAGAGACCGGGGCAGGCGUGGGGUAUUCUGGGGGUAGCGGUGAAAUGCUAUAAUCCCUGGAGGACCACCGGUAGCGAAGGCGCCACGCUGGAACGGGUCUGACGGUGAGGUACGAGAGCUAGGGGAGCAAACAGG
rnacentral:rRNA from 1 species